rnacentral:rRNA from 1 species
GGAGGAUCCGAGCGUUAUCCGGAUUUAUUGGGUUUAAAGGAAGCGUAGGCCGGAGAUUAAGCGUGUUGUGAAAUGUAGACGCUCAACGUCUGCACUGCAGCGCGAACUGGUUUCCUUGAGUACGCACAAAGUGGGCGGAAUUCGUGGUGUAGCGGUGAAAUGCUUAGAUAUCACGAAGAACUCCGAUUGCGAAGGCAGCUCACUGGAGCGCAACUGACGCUGAAGCUCGAAAGUGCGGGUAUCGAACAGGAUUAGAUACCCUGGUAGUCCGCACGGUAAACGAUGGAUACUCGCUGUUGGCGAUAUACUGUCAGCGGCCAAGCGAAAGCAUUAAGUAUCCCACCUGGGGAGU